UACUCGAGCCCCAAGUCGUAUCCGCGAUUAGUGGGUUUAAAGCGUCCGUAGCCGGUUUGGUAAGUUUCUAGUGAAAUCCUUUGGUAAACUAAAGGGCUUGCUGGGAAUACUACCAGACUUGGGAUUGGGAGAGGGUAGAGGUACUCCCGGGGGAGGGGUAAAAUCCUAUAAUCCUGGGGGGACCACCUGUGGCGAAGGCUUCUACCUAGAACAAGUUCGACGGUGAGGGGCGAAACCUAGGGGAGCGAUCGGGAUUAGAUACCCCGGUAGUCCUAGGCGUAAACAAUGCCCGUUUGGUGUUAAAAACCUUUCGUGGGUUUUUAGUGCCGGAGCGUAAGUGUUAAACGGGUCACCUGGGGAGUACGUCCGCAAGGAUGAAACUUAAGCGAAUUGGCGGGGGAGCACACAAGGGGUGGAGGCUGCGGUUCAAUUGGAUCCAACGCCGGACAUCUCACGGGAAUCGACAGCAGGAUGAAGGUCAGUCUAGAGGGCUUACCAGACAAGCUGAGAGGAGGUGCAUGGCCAUCGUCAGCUCGUACCGUGAGGCGUGCGGUUAAGUCCGUUAACGAGCGAGACCCGAAUCCUAUGUUGCAACCUGGCAACAGGGCACUCAUAGGAGACCGCUGGUGAUAAACCAGAGGAAGGCUCGGGCGACGGUAGGUCAGUAUGCCCCGAAUUUUCCCGGCUACACGCGGCCUACAAUGCAUGAGACAAUGGGCUGCAACUCCGAAAGGAGAAGCCAAUCUCUUAACCUCAUGCCCAGUUCAGAUCGAGGGUUGUAACUCACCCUCGUGAAGAUGGAAUCCCUAGUAGGCAAAAGUCACUAUCUUUUGUCGAAUACGUCCCCGCUCCU
rnacentral:rRNA from 1 species